UUCCCCGGAGGUUGAUGCCCGGCAGGAGGCCAAUUCCGCCACAAACAAUGCCCCUGUUGAGCCCCCGAGUGCCCAUACCCCUGAACCCCGGGCACUAAAGGACUCGUUUCCCACGUACCGUCCAGCAUCCAUACUCUUCAGCCAGUCAACAGAUGACAAGCUCUUCGUGGUGGACCCCAUGGCAUCUUCGGACCUCCCGCAGGCGACAACAGCGAAUGUGGCAGAUGGAAGCCUGGCAGAGAAGUCAGCAGCUGAAGUGAGUGAGGAGCAGCCAAAGGCCCCAGUGCCCCUGCUCUUGACGAACUCAGCCCUGCACCAGUCUCCACUUACACUCUUGCCUCCUGGGACUCCCAAGAAUCAAGAGGCUCUUUAGUGCAUUUCUGGUGCAGCAUUCCCAACAACCAUGGAAUUUUGAAUUUUCAAGAUGAUGUAAUAGUUAUGAGUUUUCUUUUCGUAGCUGAAGGUGUACAGUUCUGGCCCGGACUGUGGCUCCUUUGCCAUUUACUACACAGAACUUCUUCAAGAAGUGAAUUCUUACAUGAGUUUAAUCAUGUGUACAGUUUGGUAGCUGUAUUAUUUGCACACAGAAACAGUGAAUGCAUA